rnacentral:rRNA from 1 species
GACGAACGCUGGCGGCGUGCUUAACACAUGCAAGUCGAACGGUGAAGCGCCUUCCUUUUUGGUGGGUGUGGUUGAGUGGCGAACGGGUGAGUAACACGUGAGUAACCUGCCCCCUUCUUUUGGAUAACCGCACGAAAGCGUGGCUAAUACGGGAUAUUCUGGGUCUGUCGCAUGAUGGGUCUGGGAAAGAUAUUGUUUCGGUGGGGGAUGGGCUUGCGGCGUAUCAGGUUGUUGGGGGGGUGUUGGCCUACGAAGGCUUGGACGGGUAGCCGGUCUGAGAGGGUGUGAGGCAAGGCUGGGACUGAGACGGGGCGCAGAAGGCGAGGGGAGUGAGCAGUGGGGAAUAGCGUAAUGCGGGCGCACGGCGGGUGGAGUGGAGGCGUGCGGGUGGUGACGGUCUUUGGGUAGUGAAGCGGGCCUGCCUGGGUUGUAGGGGGAUUGACGGUAGCUGGUAAAGAAGCGCCGGCUAACUACGUG